AGAAAAAAGAAAAAGAGAAAGAGAGAAAGAGAGAGAGAAGAGAAAGAAGAAAGUGAGAGAGAGGAGAAAGAAGGAAGAAGAAGAGGGGAAGAAAGGAGGAGAUUCAAGAGGAGAGUCAUACCUGUUGGGAGCUGAUCAAGGUUGCAAUCGAAGAGUCCUUUUGACUAUCAUUGAAGAAGACGAGCUAAUCGAAACGAAGACACAGAUGAUGGUGUAUGUGAGUGCGUGGACUAAACUGGAGGCCAGGAGCAACAUGAUGUUGAAGAAGAUGCAUGAUAAUUCCUUUGUUUUUUAAAUGAUAGAGAAAUUUAAUUAGUUAUUAUGAGAUGUUAAAUAAUGUUGUUGAGUGAUAUAUUUUGAGUUGAUUUUAUUUGCUUCCCUUUGGACCUUGUUUCGAAACAUGAAAUAAAUAGUUGACGUCGCUACCAGACAUUGAAGUA